rnacentral:rRNA from 1 species
AUUGAACGCUGGCGGCAUGCCUUACACAUGCAAGUCGAACGGCAGCACGGGAGCAAUCCUGGUGGCGAGUGGCGAACGGGUGAGUAAUAUAUCGGAACGUGCCCAGUCGUGGGGAUAACGUAGCGAAAGCUACGCUAAUACCGCAUACGAUCUAUGGAUGAAAGCGGGGGAUCGCAAGACCUCGCGCGAUUGGAGCGGCCGAUAUCAGAUUAGGUAGUUGGUGAGGUAAAGGCUCACCAAAGCCGACGAUCUGUAGCUGGUCUGAGAGGACGACCAGCCACACUGGGACUGAGACACGGCCCAGACUCCUACGGGAGGCAGCAGUGGGGAAUUUUGGACAAUGGGCGCAAGCCUGAUCCAGCAAUGACCGCGUGCAGGAUGAAGGCC